rnacentral:tRNA from 1 species
GCAUUUAUAUGUAGCGCUUAGCAUGGUUGCCUUCCAAGCAGCCGAUCCGGGUUCGACUCCCGGCCGAUGCA